AGUUUCAUAGUGUAGCGGUUAGCACAUCUGCUUUACAUGUAGAAGGUCCUGGGUUCGCAUCCCAGUAGAGCCA
rnacentral:tRNA from 1 species